UGAAGAAUUAAGAGGCAACUCUUAACUGGCCGGCUAAGGAAAAACCGAGAGGUUCAAGCUUAGAGGGCAGAAAGCUCUGCGGAGUAGCGCUUAAAUCGCAGAGCGGAGGGCAUGGCGGUAGCGCAUACAACGACGUGCCAA
rnacentral:ncRNA from 1 species